GACGAACGCUGGCGGCGUGCCUAAUACAUGCAAGUCGAACGAACCGCGACUGAGUGCUUGCACUUGGUCAAGGUGAGUGGCGAACGGGUGAGUAACACGUGGGUAACCUACCUCAUAGUGGGGGAUAACAGUCGGAAACGACUGCUAAUACCGCAUAGGACAUGGAAUCACAUGAUUCUGUGAGGAAAGGUGGCGCAAGCUAUCGCUAAGAGAUGGACCCGCGGUGCAUUAGCUAGUUGGUAGGGUAAGGGCCUACCAAGGCGAUGAUGCAUAGCCGACCUGAGAGGGUGAUCGGCCACAUUGGGACUGAGACACGGCCCACACUCCUACGGGAGGCAGCAGUAGGGAAUCUUCCGCAAUGGACGCAAGUCUGACGGAGCAACGCCGCGUGAGUGAAGAAGGUCUUCGGAUCGUAAAGCUCUGUUGUUAGAGAAGAACAGCGCAUAGAGUAACUGUUAUGCGUGUGACGGUAUCUAACCAGAAAGCCACGGCUAACUACGUG
rnacentral:rRNA from 1 species